rnacentral:rRNA from 1 species
GCGGGGUAGAUCUCCCACCCCUGUGUAUUUCUUACCUGUGUUGCUUUGGCAGGCCGCUGGGUUGCGGCCUGGCCACCGGCCUUUGGGCUGGUGCGUGCCUGCCAGAGACCCUUCAAACUCUGGUUUAUCUAGUGUUGUCUGAGUAUCAUGCAAAUCGUUAAAACUUUCAACAACGGAUCUCUUGGUUCUGGCAUCGAUGAAGAACGCAGCGAAAUGCGAUAAGUAAUGUGAAUUGCAGAAUUCAGUGAAUCAUCGAAUCUUUGAACGCACAUUGCGCCCUUUGGUAUUCCGAGGGGCAUGCCUGUUCGAGCGUCAUUUCAACCCUCAAGCUCUGCUUGGUAUUGGGCUUCGCCGUCGUGCGGCGGGCCUUAAAAUCAGUGGCGGUGCCGUCUUGGCUCCAAGCGCAGUAGCAUCAUCUCGCUCUGGAGACCCUGGUGGUUGCUGGCCAGCUAACCCCCCCUUUUUUUUCUCAUGGUUGACCUCGGAUCAGGUAGGGAUACCCGCUGAACUUAA